rnacentral:rRNA from 1 species
CCUACGGGAGGCAGCAGUGGGGAAUCUUGCGCAAUGGGCGAAAGCCUGACGCAGCCAUGCCGCGUGUAUGAUGAAGGUCUUAGGAUUGUAAAAUACUUUCACCGGUGAAGAUAAUGACUGUAGCCGGAGAAGAAGCCCCGGCUAACUUCGUGCCAGCAGCCGCGGUAAUACGAAGGGGGCUAGCGUUGCUCGGAAUUACUGGGCGUAAAGGGAGCGUAGGCGGACAUUUAAGUCAGGGGUGAAAUCCCAGAGCUCAACUCUGGAACUGCCUUUGAUACUGGGUGUCUUGAGUGUGAUAGAGGUAUGUGGAACUCCGAGUGUAGAGGUGAAAUUCGUAGAUAUUCGGAAGAACACCAGUGGCGAAGGCGACAUACUGGAUCAUUACUGACGCUGAGGCUCGAAAGCGUGGGGAGCAAACAGGAUUAGAUACCCUGGUAGUCCACGCCGUAAACGAUGAUUGCUAGUUGUCGGGAUGUUUACAUCUCGGUGACGCAGCUACGCAUAAGACACUCCGCCGUGGGUAGGUACGGUCGCGAGAUAAACUACAAGUAGAGUAGACGCGUGAGACGUGACGACGACGACGACGAGGGAGGAGG